rnacentral:lncRNA from 1 species
GCCUAAAGCAGGCGGGGAGAAAGAGAAAGGGAUUGCAGGGCACCGUGGUGAGGCAAAUGCUUUUAUGUCAGAACACUGCGUUAGUGCUUGGAACACCAACUUGCAGUUUCUGAGGUGCACAGCUGGAAGCACAAGAGUNUGGCAAUCUUUGUAUCUGACGUCGAUCAAAACGUGGCUCAAGGACCUUCCAGAUUAUAAUCUGGAAAUUGAAGCAGCAGAAGAAAAUCCUACUGAUAAUAAAAGCAAAAUGAAAAAUUGAAUGCUGUUAAUGUUUGGAAAAAUG